rnacentral:miRNA from 14 species
CAUGUGUAUGUACAUGUGUUUGCAUGUGUGAGUGUGCAUCCACUGUCCUACACACACACACACACACACACACACACACACGCACAGCACAUAU